rnacentral:rRNA from 1 species
CCUACGGGAGGCAGCAGUGAGGAAUAUUGGUCAAUGGGCGGGAGCCUGAACCAGCCAAGUCGCGUGAGGGAAGAAUGUACUAAGUAUUGUAAACCUCUUUUGCCAAGGGACAAAGUCGGCCACGUGUGCCCGUACGAGGGUACCUGUAGAAAAAGCAUCGGCUAACUCCGUGCCAGCAGCCGCGGUAAUACGGAGGAUCCGAGCGUUAUCCGGAUUUAUUGGGUUUAAAGGUAGCGUAGAUGGGUUGUUAAGUCAGUUGUGAAAGUUUGCGGCUCAACCGUAAAAUUGCAAUUGAUACUGGCAGUCUUGAGUACAGUUGAGGUAGGCGGAAUUCGUGGUGUAGCGGUGAAAUGCUUAGAUAUCACGAAGAACUCCGAUUGCGAAGGCAGCUUACUAAACUGUGACUGACAUUGAUGCUCGAAAGUGUGGGUAUCAAACAGGAUUAGAUACCCGAGUAGUC